UCGCACCUUCGCCUCCCCAACAGUCCUCCGACUCCCGUUUUCCGCAAGGAAUGUCUUCAGACCCCACCAUCCGGUCUUGAACCCGCGCAACACGUCGCAAGCUCGGGAUCAUGGAGAUCUGACGGGUUUGACGCGGUUGGAUCGUUGCGCGAGGGCAGCCAGCUGGCCUGGUUUGCAGGGCCGCCUGGAGGGAAUGUGGUUUCGGAACUUAACCCUAAGCUCACUUUUGGUUUGAGUCUUGCGCUCACAGUCGCCUGGAUCUCCUUUUAAACUGCUCGAUCGUUUUGCAGAGCUGUGUCCUGCUGAAAAGCAGAGUGCGGCUAGCUGGCCUUGAGUGGUGGAAGGGUGGUGGGCAUUCCAGACGUCAUCAGGCGGGCGAGGGCGCUUGCUAUGAGUCUAAUGGUAAGAACUCCUGGUCUGGGGUCACUCGUCAGCAAUGUGCCGCUGGAAGUUGUACUUCUGGUCAUCUGGGUCGUCUUGGUGAUGGUGACCAACCUGAUUGGGUGGAAGAUACGUGUUCAACAUUACUUCGUUCUUAGAGGAGGGAGUGCCUUAACAGGCUACUUCGCUGCACUUGGGACUAAGAGGGAGAGCGUGGUACUGGUUACGUACAGUCAGAUCAACAUCACUUCACGCUUCUGCCUUUGACCUGAUUCGCCAGAAUCAUCUGUUCCCCCUCGGUCGGAUGAGCGAUGGUCGUAUGGCUACAACAGAAGUGCGACUAGUUCUGAUCCCUUUUCGCCAUGCCACAUGCUCUCGGUACCCUCAGGUCCUAGUCACAAUCAAGAACUUUUCAGCUGUUGGCGUGAAACGCGACUUUGCUCCCAGCGAAGUCGUCGCGCAUCCAAUCCUUCCAUCAGGCGUCUAUACUCCCAGGACCACGUCUCGGCAUCGCCUAAUGACGUGUCACUUCUGUGUGAUCCGGCCAGGCGCAUUAGCCACCAGCUGUGGAUCAUAUCCGUCGGUAAUGGUGGACGCCAAAGCCUUCGUUGGUCGUUCUAAAUGAGCGGUCGAUGAAGUUGCCUCAAAUCGGCCUUCGGACUGUUCAGAGAUGAUAGCAUGGCUUUUACGGACGUUUUUGGCCAUGCGGAAUGCCCUCCUUGCCGCUCUUACAAGCUCGACGGAGAGGAAUCAAAAACAAGUCCUUGUUGGCAGUGCGCUAAACAGAAAGAGCUUCAUUUUGACUUGGUAGCAGAGCAUAUGUUUGGUGUUCGCCGAUUUUGGUAGUGGACUUGUCGAGGAUGGUGCUGGUUAGAUGGGGGAAUCGUGCUUGGUUCGCUGGACCAUUGUUGGUUUGCACGCUUGGUUUGUUGUGUAAGGCAUGAAGCAAGGCCGGGACCCAUCUUGAGUUGGUGUCAAAGUUUAGGCUUGUCCGGACUUGUGGACUGUCUUGGAUGACGACUGGCAAACUGCAAUUUUUUGUUCUUGUACAUCUGGACAGGCCUUUGCUGAGGUAGUCCUAGGCUGUUCUCUCCACAGGUUGGCAGAGGGCAGUCCCCUUUUUUAG
rnacentral:telomerase_RNA from 1 species